CAUGAUUAGAGACUGAUGUUCCGCUUCCAGAGGUGGAUCUAGAAUCAUGUUCUUUUGUCACUUAAGCCUUGACCCAGAGACAAGGAUUCAUUGCCAUCACAUCUGCCCUGCACAUGCAGUAGGAAGAAAGAAAAUACGUCUUUAUUCAGAGAUUCCAGCAGGGCUGCCUUUGAGUUACUCUGACCUGGUUCACUACUGACAAAGGCACAUGCCCUUGACCUUCCAGCAUCUCCAGUUACUUCCCAGCUCCUUGACUCCUCCAUUUGAAGAUGAACAGAACAUUCUAGGAUGCAGUCCCAGGAAUGAGAAUCCUGGGGUUGAUGCUAAAUCAUUUGUAUCCCUUUAAAGAUUUGCAAAGUGGUGCAACUAAGGUAUUGGAAGUAAUGGAGCUCCCCUGAAUUCCUGACCAUUUCUCCCACCAAGACUGACUGUUGAUCAAACAGCUCUGACAAUGGAAGGAAAGAUUAAACAAUUAAACAAAAUGAAAACUUAAACGUGA